rnacentral:lncRNA from 1 species
AAGAAAGUACACCAACAAGACCUCGCCUACUAGCCAGUGGGAUAUGGCUAGUGCUGCUUAGGAGGAGGACACUCUAACCCAGGAAUUUACUUAAGUCUUAGCACCCCCAACUACUACUAGAAGGCCUAUGGAGGUCUUAGUUACUCCGCCACCUAGUACUUCCGACAUAGAUGUCAAGGGAGCUAUCUAUUUGCUCACCAUAUUGUUGCUAUUGAGGCUUAGAGGCCGGGAACAUGUGCUGUUGAUGAGAUGGGUAGUUCCAUGUAACGACCCGAUUGGCCGUUUUGCCGCUUAGAACCCUGCUCCUUUAAAUAAAACUUCUUGUGCUUGCUUUAGCUAAUUUAUGACUUGCAG